UGCAUGGUGGCUUAGUGGUUAGCAUGGUCGCCUCACACCCCCAGGGUCGGGGUUUGAUUCCCACCUGUGUGU